rnacentral:misc_RNA from 1 species
UCCGGUUUGUCACCGGCAGUCUGGCGUGAGUCCCCAACUUAAUGCUGGCAACACGCCACGGGGGUUGCGCUCGUUGCGGGACUUAACCCAACAUCUCACGACACGAGCUGACGACAGCCAUGCAGCACCUGUGCGCCGGCUCCCUUUCGGGCACUCCCGCAUCUCUGCAGGAUUCCGGCCAUGUCAAGGGUAGGUAAGGUUUUUCGCGUUGCAUCGAAUUAAUCCACAUCAUCCACCGCUUGUGCGGGUCCCCGUCAAUUCCUUUGAGUUUUAGCCUUGCGGCCGUACUCCCCAGGCGGAUAACUUAAUGCGUUAGCUGCGCCACCAAAACCCUAAGGGCCCUGACAGCUAGCUAUCAUCGUUUACGGCGUGGACUAC